rnacentral:rRNA from 1 species
AGUGAACGCUGGCGGUAGGCCUAACACAUGCAAGUCGAACGGCAGCACAGAGGAGCUUGCUCCUUGGGUGGCGAGUGGCGGACGGGUGAGGAAUACAUCGGAAUCUACUCUGUCGUGAGGGAUAACGUAGGGAAACUUACGCUAAUACCGCAUACGACCUACGGGUGAAAGCAGGGGAUCUUCGGACCUUGCGCGAUUGAAUGAGCCGAUGUCGGAUUAGCUAGUUGGCGGGGUAAAGGCCCACCAAGGCGACGAUCCGUAGCUGGUCUGAGAGGAUGAUCAGCCACACUGGAACUGAGACACGGUCCAGACUCCUACGGGAGGCAGCAGUGGGGAAUAUUGGACAAUGGGCGCAAGCCUGAUCCAGCCAUACCGCGUGGGUGAAGAAGGCCUUCGGGUCGUAAAGCCCUUUUGUUGGGAAAGAAAUCCAUCUGGUUAAUACCCGGGUGGGAUGACGGUACCCAAAGAAUAAGCACCGGCUAACUUCGUGCCAGCCGCCGCAGUAA